CGGGUGCACUGAUCCAGCCGGGCCUUUCCCUCUGUGGAACCCCAUGGCCUUCACUGGCUGUGGCGGGGAAACAGGACUUUUACUUUGAAAAAAUUAGAGUGCUCCAGGCAGGCCUAUGCUCGAAUACAUUAGCAUGGAAUAAUAGAAUAGGACGUGUGGUUCUAUUUUGUUGGUUUCUAGGACCGCCGUAAUGAUUAAUAGGGACAGUCGGGGGCAUCAGUAUUCAAUUGUCAGAGGUGAAAUUCUUGGAUCUAUUGAAGACUAACCACUGCGAAAGCAUUUGCCAAGGAUGUUUUCAUUGAUAAGGAACGAAAGUUAGGGGAUCGAAGACGAUCAGAUACCGUCGUAGUCUUAACUAUAAACUAUGCCGACUAGGGAUCGGACGAUGUUAUUCUUUGACGCGUUCGGCACCUUUCGAGAAAUCAAAGUGCUUGGGCUCCAGGGGGAGUAUGGUCGCAAGGCUGAAACUUAAAGAAAUUGACGGAAGGGCACCACCAGGGGUGGAACCUGCGGCUUAAUUUGACUCAACACGGGGAAACUCACCAGGUCCAGACACAGUGAGGAUUGACAGAUUGAGAGCUCUUUCUUGAUUCUGUGGGUGGUGGUGCAUGGCCGUUCUUAGUUGGUGGAGUGAUUUGUCUGCUUAAUUGCGAUAACGAACGAGACCUUAACCUGCUAAAUAGCCCGUACUGCUUUGGCAGUUCGCCGGCUUCUUAGAGGGACUAUCGG
rnacentral:rRNA from 1 species